UACGAAGGGGGCUAGCGUUGUUCGGAAUUACUGGGCGUAAAGCGCACGUAGGCGGAUUGUUAAGUUAGGGGUGAAAUCCCGGGGCUCAACCCCGGAACUGCCUCUAAUACUGGCAAUCUCGAGUCCGAGAGAGGUGAGUGGAAUUCCGAGUGUAGAGGUGAAAUUCGUAGAUAUUCGGAGGAACACCAGUGGCGAAGGCGGCUCACUGGCUCGAUACUGACGCUGAGGUGCGAAAGCGUGGGGAGCAAACAGG
rnacentral:rRNA from 1 species